GAAAAAGUAAAUUCUCAGUUGCCGUAAAAGCGAUUUCUCAUUUCUUUAAUUAGCAUUGAUUAUUAACAUCAGACACAGUAAUGUUUGUAAAAUCAUAUCAUGGUUACAUUUAAGUGGUCUUCCAACAAGAUUCAAAUGCAACGAAUGAUCCUCUUGACCAUCAUUGGUAUGAUUUCAUACGGAAUAUUGAAGGGUCACAUGAAAUACGAAAAAGAGGUGGCGGAGUACAUGAGCUCGUUGGAAUAUCGACAGGCGAGAGAAGCCAGCCAUGACUACAACAAGCAACGGAUGAAGAACCAACAACAGCUUUCGUCCGACAAGUGUCUUUCUGCUACGGAUUCGAAUAAUACGAAUGCUUUUCCGGAAAUUGAUCAGAGCUCACAUCGAAGAUAAAAUCAAAUGAUUUUGUUUCUGAUUGUUAUACGUAGAAUGUAUUGGUAAUAUUUAUGUUUGAUAUUUCAUUCCUCGAUCAACUGAUGUAUAAGGUAUAUUGGUAUGUAAUGGUGUUUGAAUAAAGAUCAAAGAGGUAAUAGGUAAUUACGCUGCGAGUAUAAAAUAGCGUAUUAAUAUAAUAUGCUUGGCAGAGGCAUUCUGUCGAGUCGAUGAUCACGCUAACGAAGAGCUAAAGGUAAAUUUCAUUAACCGCCUAUCAGAUUUCAUGUUUACAGGCGAUGAUUCCUAGAAUGCGAACUCGCAUAAACUAGGUAAAUAGAUAUUGGUAAAACUUGCCGUUUCGAAACUAAUUAGACUUCAUAUUAAAGAUAAAAAGUGGAAAUGCAAAGUUUGUUUUAGAUUUGGAUAAUGUUUGACAAUUGAGAGACUUGUAACAGAAACGACUCCUUGCAAAUUUUUGUUUUUUUUUAGGCAAUAAUCUACCUAGCAUAUAUGGAUUAUGAAAAAUGUUCUGUCUUUAUUUAUUGUCAAAUCAAAGUUAAAUAGUUCUACAAAAACAACCUCUAUCGAGGUUUCAUAAUGUAGUUGUGUAAUACGGCGAAUAUUAUGUUAAAAAUAUAAAAUAUAAGUAUCGAUUAACAAUUAAAGAUGUCAGUAUUCUUCCAAUUUCCUGAGAAAAAGGCAAACACGGAUAAGGGCCGUUUUCGUUACGAAUCGUUUGAUCAAAACGGCUAUCAGAGGAACAUCUAGUAUCCAAGAGGAAGUAAUUGUUUUAAGAAACGGAGAAAGGAAAGAGUAGAAAUUUGACAAUAAAUCUAUGAAACGAUGGAAUUUUUACGAGUACUUGGAUUCUUUGACCAUUGCCAAUCGAGAUUCCUGUGAAGACAAUGGCCGUUAGCUUCGCAGGUGUUUCGGUCGUUUUCAACGAGUAUCUGGCUGGUAUCGCGGACAUAAGGUCAGGGUGGACAUGAUAUUUCCUGUAUCGGCCGCAAGACAAAGGAACAAAAGCUGCUGUCAAAGUACGCGAAGCGUGUAAGUUAUCACGAGUUAAAAGGAAUGGCCACCAAUUUGUUGAUCGUUAACGCGAAGUUAACUAACUGCAUUGCUAAUUACGGCGAACAAAGCGUUCUUCUCGUUUUCCUGCUCUGUUCCUCUUGCUUCGAGGAAAUUGAUUUCGGAAAAUAUGCGAUUUUUUGCUCUGUCUUGAUUAUGAUUCAAUUGAGCCUCUCGGAAGCCUGUCUGAUCGAUUACAUAAGCCCACGAUCAAUAUUCAAUUUAAACUUUUAUAAGAACAAUCAUCGCAAUAAAAUGACGUAAACCGUAAGUCAUAAGAAAUAGUGUUUAUAACAUCAUCGCUUCUCUAUAGUAUUUAAUUUAUAGACCUGUUUGAACAGCUGUUGGGACAGCUUGA
rnacentral:lncRNA from 1 species